rnacentral:rRNA from 1 species
GAUGAACGCUAGCGGCAGGCCUAACACAUGCAAGUCGAGGGGCAGCAUAAAAUAAACUUGUUUAUUUGGUGGCGACCGGCGCACGGGUGCGUAACGCGUAUGCAACCUACCUUACACAGGAGGAUAGCCCGGAGAAAUUCGGAUUAAUACCCCAUAGCACUAUCGGAUGGCAUCAUUUGAUAUUUAAAGCUUUGGCGGUGUAAGAUGGGCAUGCGUCCUAUUAGCUAGUUGGUGAGGUAACGGCUCACCAAGACUACGAUAGGUAGGGGGCCUGAGAGGGUGGUCCCCCACACUGGUACUGAGACACGGACCAGACUCCUACGGGAGGCAGCAGUGAGGAAUAUUGGUCAAUGGGCGCAAGCCUGAACCAGCCAUGCCGCGUGAAGGAUGAAGGUUCUAUGGAUUGUAAACUUCUUUUAUUUGGGGAUAAACCCCUUUACGUGUAGAGGGCUGAAGGUACCAAAUGAAUAAGCACCGGCUAACUCCGUGCCAGCCGCCGCCGUAACAC